rfam:Desulfovibrio desulfuricans ND132, complete genome.
GCUGGCGUAGCUCAACUGGUAGAGCAGCUGAUUUGUAAUCAGCCGGUUGCGGGUUCAAGUCCCAUCGCCAGCU